rnacentral:sRNA from 1 species
GAGGAAAUGGGAAUAUAGGCAUGUGCCACCAUACCUGGCUAAUUUUGUAUUUUUAGAAGAGACGGGGUUUCUCCAUGUUGGUCAGGCCGGUCUCGAACUCCCAUCCUCAGGGCCAUGACUGCUGCCCAAUGCUCUUUAACUACGAUGACCGCGGCUGCCUGACCUUCGUCUCCAAGUUAGACAUUCCAAAACAGAGCAUCCAACGCAACAUGUCUGCCAUGGAACGCUUCCGCAACAUGGACAAGAGAGCCACAACUGAGGACCGCAACACGGCCUUGGAGACGCUGCACCAGAAUAGCAUCACUCAAGUCUCUAUUUAUGAGGUGGACAAGCAAGACUGUCGCAAAUUUUGCACUACUGGCAUCGAUGGAGCCAUGACAAUUUGGGAUUUCAAGACCCUCGAGUCUUCCAUCCAGGGCCUCCGGAUAAUGUGAAGCUGAGUGAGCCUCCACCAUCCAGCAUGACAAACUGUGGCCGACUGCAGCUGUGCCGUGGCACGAUGGCGAGGAAGCCAGCCCCAAGGAAACACUGAAAACACAUAUCACGCCAAUGCCGUGUGGUUUUGUUUGAAUAUAAAAUUGGUGAAAGUGUUGGUUUUUUUAAGGCAGUAAUUUUUUUUGUUUGUUUUUUUGCGAUUUCAUUCCAUUCUUGACCAAAGCUUCUCUUUAAGUAGUUUAUUAUGGAAAAUUGUCACACUAACUUAAAAGACAGGGUGAGGGA